UAUAUUUUAGUGUAUAGUGCACUUAAGGUUUUGAUUCUUAGAGUAGAGUAUUUAUCUCUAAAUAUAA
rnacentral:tRNA from 1 species